GGUGACCCCCCACAUUGGCACUGACACACGGGCCAAACUCCUACGGGAGGCAGCAGUGAGGAAUAUUGCUCAAUGGGCGAAAGCCUGAAGCAGCAACGCCGCGUGCGCGAUGAAGGUCUUCGGAUCGUAAAGCGCUUUUGAGAGGGACGAGAUAGGACGGUACCUCUUGAAUAAGUCACGGCUAACUACGUGCCAGCAGCCGCGGUAAAACGUAGGUGGCAAGCGUUAUCCGGAUUCACUGGGCGUAAAGCGAGUGCAGGUGGUUGCGUAAGUUGGAUGUGAAAUUUCCCGGCCUAACCGGGAAGGGUCAUUCAAUACUGCGCGACUUGAGGGCAGAAGAGGGGGGUGGAAUUGCCGGUGUAGUGGUGAAAUGCGUAGAUAUCGGCAGGAACACCUGUGGCGAAAGCCCCCCUGGUCUGCUCCUGACACUCAGACUCGAAAGCUAGGGUAGCGAACGGGAUUAGAAACCCCGGUAGUCCUAGCCGUAAACGAUGGAUGCUAGGUGUGGGUGGUAUUGACCCCAUCCGUGCCGAAGCUAACGCGUUAAGCAUCCCGCCUGGGGACUACGGCCGCAAGGUUAAAACUCAAAGGAAUUGACGGGGACCCGCACAAGCAGCGGAGCGUGUGGUUUAAUUCGAUCUACACGAAGAACCUUACCCAGGUUUGACAUACAGGUAGUAGUGAAGCGAAAGCAGAACGACUCGCAAGAGAGCCUGCACAGGUGCUGCAUGGCUGUCGUCAGCUCGUGCCGUGAGGUGUUUGGUUAAGUCCACUAACGAGCGCAACCCCUGUCGUCAGUUACAUGUGUCUGACGAGACUGCCGGUCUUAAACCGGAGGAAGGUGGGGAUGACGUCAAGUCAGCAUGGCCUUUAUAUCUGGGGCUACACACACGCUACAAUGGCCGGUACAAUGGGUUGCCAACCCGCGAGGGGGAGCUAAUCCUGUAAAGCCGGUCUCAGUUCGGAUUGUAGGCUGCAACCCGCCUGCAUGAAGCUGGAGUUGCUAGUAAACGCGCGUCAGCUAUAGUGCGUUGAAUACGUUCCCGGGUCUUGUACACACCGCCCGUCACGUCAUGGGAGCUGGUAACACCUGAAGCCGGUACGCUAACCGCAAGGAGGCAGCCGUCGAGGGUGGGACUGGCGACUGGGACGAAGUCGUAACAAGGUAGCUGUAGCGGAAGCUGCGGCUGG
rnacentral:rRNA from 1 species